rnacentral:rRNA from 1 species
GAUGAACGCUGGCGGCGUGCCUAAUACAUGCAAGUCGAGCGAACAGAUAAGGAGCUUGCUCCUUUGACGUUAGCGGCGGACGGGUGAGUAACACGUGUGUAACCUACCUAUAAGACGGGUAUAACUUCGGGAAACCGGAUCUAAUACCGGAUAACAUUUUGAAGCGCAGGGUUCUAAAGUGAAAGUUGGUUUUUCUAUCAGUUAUAGAUGGACCCGCGCCGUAUUAGCUAGUUGGUAAGGUAACGGCUUACCAAGGGAAGUAUACGUAACCGACGUGCGAGAGUGAUCGGCCACACUGGAACGGAGACACGGUCCAGACUCCUACGGGAGGCAGCAGUAGGGAACCUGACGCAAUGGUCGGAAGCCUGACGGAGCAACGCGACGUGAGUGAUGAAGGGUUUGGGUUCGUAAAAAUCUGUUAUUAGGGAAGAACCAAUUUGUACGUAAAUGUGCAGGUCUUGACGGUACCUAAUCAGAAAGCAACGGCUAACUACGUG